AAUGAUUCAAUAACAAAGUUAAGGAACAAAAAAUAACCGGUCAUUUCAGUUAAUAUGCAGUAAAAUAAAGAAAUUUAAAGAAAAGGGGUAAGAUAAUUACUAUUUCCAGACAGGUGGGAGCUUCUUGGUCUUCUUGUAGUAACGAGCCAAUCGGUGAAUCCUGCUCUCCACCAAAAUCAACCGAAACUUGGAAUCCUUAUCCUUUCUGUUCCUCUCCAAAUGCUUCCUUAUUGCUACUGCCUUCUUGAUCAAGUGAUAAAGAUCCUCAGGAAUCUCAGGCGCCAACCCUAACCAUUUCAAUUACGGAAAUCGAUAAUCCAAAAAAGAAUUAAUUCUUUUGAUUCGGUCGAAAUAUUUAAAAUUCAAUAGCGGAAAUUGGUUAUACCGUGAGCCUUGAGAAUACGAAGGAUUUUGCUGCCGGUAACGCUCUUAACCUGAGCAAUGCCGUGGGAAUCACGAAGAAUCACACCAAUCUGUGAUGGAGUCAUCCCCUUCUUUGCGAACUUGCAGAUAUUCUCAUCAACCUUUACAAUUUCAACAAAUGAAUAUAUGAACAACUUAUAUAAGUUCAAAUGGCAUCCAAUUAAAUACGAAAAAUCAAGCAUAAAUGUGAAAUUAGAAAGGAAAAAAAGUUAACAUCUUGGGAAGAGAUUUUGAGCCAGCUGGGAGGAGUUCUCUUGUAAGGUAGGGCUGAAGCAGAAAUACCCUUUCUGCAACCAAAAUGAAAACAUAAUGCAUCAAAUAAAUGUGACGCUAAGAGAAAAUGAAUUCAAAAAAAAUAAAUAGUUGGAUUAGUAGAUUGACAAGGAGACGACGGAGAGAGGCUCACCCGCGGCUGUGCAUACGACCCAUGGUGGCGGCGGCGGUGGUGGCGCGGCACUGUGUUCACACCGAUGGGAGUUUUCUCUUUUGCUUCCGAAAACAAUGGCCACAAACCCUAGCUCAGGGUGUAGUUUUACGAAUUGGGGUUUUAAUACGACGGUGAUUGGAGAUUGCAUUUCUGUUGGGUUUAUCUUUACGGCCCAAUUACUAAAAGAAGGUUACUUCAUCAAGUUGAGCUAUGGGCCUCCAUUUUCAAUUUCAGUAGUUAUUUUCGCACUUUAAACAUUUUUUUUUUAAUAAAUAUGCAAUAUUAAUAUUUAUACUAAAUUUUUUUAUUCAAACAUUAUAAAAACUCAAAUUUUUUAAAUAAUUUUUAAAUAUUUUUAAUAUUUGUUUUUGUUAUUCGGCAACUUACCAAAUCGAACAGUGUAUUUCGGUUUGAUUUCGAUUCGGUAAACGAUAUGAAAUUUUGGUGUUCAAAAUUUCAGUACAAUUCAACGAAUUUAGUGAGUGAAACACUCGUAUCCUUAUCUAAAAAAUAAGAAAUUGGUUGAGAACAAUCUUGGAGGGUGUUUGCCUAAGUUUAUAUUAAAUAGCUGAUAAGCUCUUACGAUAAGAUGUUUUAAGAGCUGAUAAGUUGUUACACUUUAUUUUUUGGAUUAAUUUUUAGAGUGAUUGGAUACUAAACUUAUUUCCUAUUUUUACUAAUUAUAAGAUCUUAGGUGGGGCAGAUGUACUUUUUUUAAAAGAUCUUAUUUGCUCUCCAAUAACUUAUUUUAUAAAAAACUAAGAUCUUUUUUUAAAAAAAUUACCAAACACCUUAAAAGAGCUUAUAACUCUAAACCAUCUUAUAAGCUUAUUUUAAUAUCUUAUAAGUUUAGCCAAACACCCUCCUAUUUAGCAAAGGUUGUGGACAAGAAAAUUAGCAUUCUUAGAAGAAUAUUUGAAUUACGUAAUCUAGUCAAUAUAAUCUUGACUUUAUCCGAUAAAGUUUGGAGGUUUGAUUUUCGAUAGAUAAAAGACUGCGGCUAAAUGCAAUAUUAAUUUCAAUCAUCCAAGACCAAAUUAAAAAUUUCGAUGUAUAAAUACUAUAAUACCCUUACUUGUUAAAAAAAUAGAAAAAUCUAAAUGUGCAAUACCAAAAACUCAAAACCACAAAAAACCCUAUCACAAAACCACAAGACCAACUUUCAUCUUCUCCAUCUUCCAAAACCACAAAACAUUUCUCCUUACUCCUCCAUAAACCCACAAAACCCUCAAAACUCAACAAAUUUUACAAAGAUGACAAGUAUGGAGUCAGAAGACAUCAAAAUGGAAGAUUCUACCGUGGAAAGACCCAAUAAGGUAUGCAUUUAUGUGUAUUUUAGCAAGAAUAUCGUUUUCCCAAAAACAUCUCACGCAUACGCGGUUGACAUGUACAAGUCGAAUUUGAUAGGUAAAAAUCGACAUUGAGAUGUCGAUUUUGUAGUAGAAAAUUCGACAUUUCACAAUGUCGAAUUUUCUGCUAUAAUUCGACAUUAUGUUGUCGAUUUGUACCUACCAAAUUCGAUAUACUCUUGAGGUCGAAUUUUGGUCUGUUUUUCGACGUAUAAGUGUCGAUUUCUAGCAUAGUUUUUCGACACCUUGGUGUCGAUUUUUACCAGUUUCAAAUUUUAAUUUUUUUUAAGGUUGAACAAAAUGAGGAUUUAGCAAUUGACUAGUCUAGUAAUUUAUCAAGCAUGAUACAUUUGCAACAAGGGAUGAAUUGCUGCAAUGGGUGAGAGAAGUGGGUAGAUGUCUCGGAAUAGUCUUUACAAUCAAGUCAUCAAAUCAUGGACUCAAUAAACGUAGAAGACUAUAUAUGGUGCGCCAAGAGCAUGGCCUAGCAUUCGUGAACAACAAUCAUUUUGUACAUGUCGUCUUGAAGAACAAUUGUCCUAUGCUUCCUAUCGCAGAUCAUUGGAUACAAUACCACGAUACCAAGUCAGAUGGUUAGAAGACACCCGAUACCGAGAAUAGAAUUGCGACUUUUAAAGGUUUAGUCGGUUCGAACGUUGCAUUACGAGAGACCAUAACUCUAGAUUAGUUCUAUCUAAACAAUGUUUAUUUUGAAGGACCUGUUCAGCAUAUUUCAUAAUAUAGCGUUCGUAUAUAUAGUUCAUUCUAUAAAUGCACAUCCAUUCAUAUCUCAAAAAUCCAUCAAAAAAUUCAUAAAAAUCCACAAAAUCAAAAAUCCACCAAAAUUCAACGAAAUCGACAUAAUCUAACAUACGUCUAGAAAAUGUAACAUAAAUCUAGAAAAUGUAUCAUAUAUCCUAAAAAUCGAACAUAAAUCAUAUAUUUUUCUUCUUCUUCGAUUUACACGCUCUAAGAACUGGUGCUUGGGGUGCAGCAGGGGGGAGCAUGAGGAUGACAUACUGUGGAUUUCCUCUUUCGCUCGGAAGCGGUCUGUCGUACACGAGCAUCCUCUACAAAAAACCAACAACAAUUACAUUAAAAAAAAUUCAAAAGGUUAAAUUUCGACAUCUUGUAGAUGUCAAUUUCUGACCAUACAAAUCGACAUCUUGGUGUAGAUUUCUAUUAAUGUUUCUCGACAUCUAGAAGAUGUUGAUUCCUGACCAUGAAAAACGACAUAUGGGCGUCGAUUUUUAUGGUUAGAAAUCGUUCAAAAUGUCGAGAAACAGUAAUGAAAAUCGACAUGUGUUGAAAUAUAGCAGCCAAAUUCGACCUACAAAUGUCGAAUUUUCCCUUUCAAAAACGACAUUUGCAGGUCGAAUGAAUAUGAAUCAAAACAAAUCAAAAACCUGCCCACCAAACAACAAUUCAUCAACGGAAGCUUCUUAAUGUUAUUUUAACAAAAUAAAACUACGGAUUUAUCGAAUUUAAAUAACCCUUUUCGAAAUUUUCAAUCAAAGUUGAAAAAUACUGACGUCGACGGCAUUGUUGAAUGGGUUUAGGUCGCUUAUGGUUGUGAGCGGUGGCGGUCGGCGAGGAGCUUGCGGCGGCAGAAUUUGGGCGGCGCAGGUAUGGCGACGGGGAAGAGUUUCAAAGGGGGGGCGGGUUUUUUUUUUUUUUUUUUUUUUUGUUAUUUGAUCUUGCAUGAACAAACAAAAUCCAAUUUAAUAUAUGGGUAUACUCGUCAUUUCAUCUUAAUAAAAUAGAUCUUUUAGAAUAUUUCUUUAAUUUGGUCUUGCAUGCACGAUUGAAAUUAGUAUUACAUAUAGCCGCGGCCUAAAUAAAAUUGCAUUGAGACAAUCGGCUGCAAACAUCAACAUUUUCCACCUUUGAAGUGACAAGCUUCCCGAAUGGCAAUAGAUUUAUCAUGGAAUAAUAGAAUACUAGUGCGAGCAAUUCCAUCAACAAAAUAACUAUCAAUAUGAAUCUCACUUCAUCUUUUAGGAUGUUUCAAUCAUAAUAUUCAACUUUUAAUUUUGUGGACUGGCAAUUUUUGUCAUAUAAAGAUCUUAAAAGCAUAAACAAUUGAGGUCUUUUCAUAGCUAAUUGAAGGUAAUCGAAAAAUGGCUUAAAGGCCAUACUUGACAGUAUAGCUAAAAACACUUGAAACAUAAAAGCAAAAAAAGGUCAAGUCCAUAAUCAAUUGAACAAGUGAAUCAAAUUUAAAAUCUGUCAUUCACUUUCUACUAAAAUUGUCAAAUAAACACAGAUAAAAUUUCAAUACCAACACAACAUUUCUUUUUUGCUAAAAUACAAAAAAAAAAAAAAAAAAAAAAAUCCAGUGUACUGACUCAUGAAAGAUGAUGCAUCUUUGUCAUUGCUCUACCGAAUACCCUGGAAAAUUCACAGCUUAUGCCACGAGUGUGCUGGCCGUAGUUGAUUCGCUGCACGAGAUUAAGUUCACGUCAAGAAUUUGAAAAAGGAGACAAGGUGCAUUACAUAUAAAUCUAAAAUUACAAAGAAUGAUUAGUAACAACACACACACAUAUGCACUCCAAAACAGCAAACGAACACGAAACAAGGUAUUCCUUUAGUUGUUUCAAAAGAAUUAACUGUUUCUUGGAAAUAAUACAAGUUCGUUGCACAAACAAAAAACGUCAUCAACUCUCUCCGGUAGUAGAAAUCUAGCAAUAUUUAUUAAUGAUACCGAUUUCAUUUCAUGUUACAGAAGCUAAUAUUCCACCAUAUUAGUAUCUCCAGGAAUUUCAAAUGUAUCGUCAAAUAUAUAGCAUUCGAACUGCACUAAUAUGACAUCACUUUUAACAUAACCUGUUCGAGAAUAGCAGAACAUAAAGCAAAACCUAAAAUAAAUACCUAAUUCUGCAGUUCUUUAUACCAACUCAUGUUAGCUAUAAUAAACUCAUACCAAUUUAGUUCGUGCCAUUAAUCGAUAAUGUCAAAAAAGAACACCCGGAAUUUAUUCAUCUAUAACAACUAAAGGUAAAAUUCAUUAUGCCCCAGUAAAAAAAGCAAACACCACUCUAUAAUCUGUAUAAGUUAAUGAUUCAAUAGUAAAGCUAAUAAACGAAAAGAACAGAAGAAAAGAGAGAGGAAGAUAAUUACUAUUUCCAGACAGGUGGGAGCUUCUUGGUCUUCUUGUAGUAACGAGCCAAUCGAUGAAUCCUGCUCUCCACCAAAAUCAACCGAAACUUUGAAUCCUUAUCCUUUCUGUUCC
rnacentral:lncRNA from 1 species